AAAGAAGUCCAGGAAAGAGGAGGUUGGAGGAACAGAGCAGCAUCAAGACUGCGAGCCAGCUGCAGCGGCUGUUCGGAUUACACUCACUCUCUUCGAACCCGAUCACAAGCGCUGUCCAGAGUUCUUCUACCCAGAGCUGGUGAAGAACACCCGCGGAAAGGUGAAAGGCCUUCAUCCUGGAGAUAAGAAAAAAGAUGUCUUGGAUCCUUUCAAUGAUGAAGAAAAAGAAAGGCAUAAGGUGGAGGCCCUUGCACGGAAAUUUGAAGAAAAAUAUGGUGGAAAGAAACGUAGAAAAGACCGAAUACAGGAUUUGAUUGAUAUGGGGUAUG
rnacentral:lncRNA from 1 species